rnacentral:lncRNA from 1 species
AUGAUGAGAAAUAAGAAUUCAUUAAAUAUUUGUUCCCUCUGCACAGGAAUACACUGCCGCUUGAGGGAACCUCCCGAAAACUCCACUUCCACGAGCUACGUCCGUCAGUGGCUCCCCCAAACCUCUAAAAUCUGGUUUAAAUGCCCCCACACUCCGGCCCAGGGAGGCUUUCCCCAUCAGUCCCUGUCCUGGGGGGCAAAGGCCCCCAUCCCCAGCACGCAGGCCCAAUGCGCCCGCGCCCUGCCAGGGGGCGCCCCCACCGCCUCCAGCCCACCCGGAGGGGUUCAUCCAUCCUGUCCCUCCCGGCUCUGGUCUCUCCUCCCCUACAAAGCCUCCCGGAGCCCGUCGCCCGCAUGGCUCUCGCGGCCAUCCGACCGGCCCAUCAGCCCAGGGAUCCCCCGGGUCCUCGGCCCCCCAAGUCCCAGGCCAGCUGCCUCGGACGCGCCUGCAGCUCCGCAGCCUAGCAGGACCUGGACGUGGGCCAAGGGCUCGUCGGAGGCCGGCCGGGCGGGGCAGGGAGAGCCGAGCCCAGGGCCGGGAGAGAAGCUCCCCUCCGCUCCCUCCGGGGAGCUCCGGCGUCUGCACCCUCCGGGCGGGGAGGAGAGGGAAGGAGAGGGGAGGGGAGGCAGGAAGUGCGGGGGGCCCGCGAGUCGGGUCCCCGCGCCCCCGGCCCCCCGCGCCCCGGCCCCCGCGCCCCCGGGCCCCCGCCCGCUGCACCCCCGGCCCCUGGGCCCCUGCGCCCCCGCCCCUGCGCCCCGGGUCCCCGCGCCCCCUGCACCCUCGACCCCCACGGGCUGCCCUGCGGACCAGGAGCCGACGAGGCUCCGCACCGAGCCCUCCGCGCGCGGACCAGACCCAGGGGGACCCCGCGCCGUGCGCCCGAAGGCCGAGGGGCUUCCUCCAGGCACGGGCAGGGGGCCCCGACCCCACCGCUCCCAAGCCCCCGGGCCGUGCGGGGGGCGAGAGGGGGGCGCGCGGGGCGGGCGGGGAGGGGCGGCCACCCACCUGGUGCGGGUCCGGGGUCGCCGGGCGCCAGGGCGCAGAGCAGCAGGAGCAGGGGGCGCAGCCGGGGCGCGGGGCUGCGGGGGCUGCGGGGGCUGCGGGGGCUGCGGGCGCCCGGGCGGCGGGGCAUGGCCGGGGCGGGCGGUGCCGGGUAGGGGGGCGCCGGGCGCGCGCGCUCUGGUCCGUCCCGUCCGCCGGCUGCCCGGUCCCGGUCCCGGUCCCGGUCCCGGUCCGGCUCAGGACAUGCCCGGCCCGCGCGCAGCUCCCGCGGCGGGACCCGGUCUGCGGCAACAAAGGCUGCAGGGCCCGCCCCCUCGGCGGCGCAGGAGGCUCCCGGGACCGAGGGCCCGACGGCGAGAAAGAAAGAGAGAGAGAAAGAGGAGAGGAGAGCGGAGGAGAGAGGGAGGGAGGGAGGGAGGGAGGGAGGGGGCCGUGCUGCCGCCAGCCCCUCCCCGGCCCGGGCCGCCCCGCCCCGCCCCGCCCCCGGCCCCGCCCCCGCCCCCUCCGGGCCCCGCCCCCCGGCGACAGCUUGGGGGCUGGCGCGGGGACCGACGCGCGCGGCGCCCCCCGACGGCC